GGUCAAAGAGACCACAAAUCUUCUGGAAAAAAAAGGAACGUAUGUGUGUGCGAGAAUGGAAACGGAAGGAAAAGGGGUCGAUGGGGAGGCUAAAAAAAGAUCGAAAUUGUGGUGCUUAAUCAAGAAAUUUUAGUUCAGUAAUCAUCUACUAGUUAUUUGGAAACAAGGUUUUAAUGUUGAUGCUGAACAAGCUAGGCAUGUUAAAGCUUGGAAAUCAAUGAUUCAAAGUCGAAGAUAAACUAACAAGAACCCUAUGGGAAAAGGUAAGUUAAUUCUUAAUUUAACUUGAAAAUAAAUAAUUCACAUUGAUUAGUUACAUCAGAUUGUAUUGAUCAAAUAAUUAGACUCUUUGUUAUGAAUAUAUUGAGGUGUAUUUAUGUUAGGACUUAUAUGUCAAGAGUGAUGCUAGUAUUCAGAUAAAUUAAAUGAAAGGUUUGAGCAUUAUGCCAAUGACGGAGUUUGUUUGUUUUCAUGAUAUUACAAAGGAAAGUUUCAAAUGAGUUCUCAGGUACCAUGAAAUAUUAUACAUGUUACUAAGCGAGACACUUUAUUUCGGUAAAUUAUACUGAAUCGCAUAUUUUCAUAUAAUUAUCAAGGUACGUAUUUCAAAACUUAAGAUGUAGAUGUUUAUGUGUCGAAUGUGAUGCAUUGAUAAGAUUUAUAAAGAGUAUGGAAUUAUAAUGUUGUUAAGAGACAAAAGUCUUAUGGUUGUAAGGAUGAUCAUGUAAGUGUUUAUCCGAAAGACUUUUAAAUAUAAGCGUGUAAUUAAGAAAUGCAUUCGCAUGUUUGACUAUCCAACAAUGUUAAUUUAUUGUGAAAAUUUUGGAUUCAGCAAAAGAAGAUUGAAGAGUGAAAAUCAUGAUAGAUCGGAAAUUUCGAGAUAACAUGUUUAGGGAAGGUUAUAUAUAUAUAUAUAUAUAUAUAUAUAUAUAUAUAUAUAUAUAUAUAUAUAUAUAUAUAUAUAUAUAUAUAUAUCCCGUACAAGUUUUAAAUAUGCUUGUACAAGUAAACGCAUGGCAAAAUGAGGUAAUUGGUCAAAAUCAUUGUUUAAAGAAUGUAUGUACAGGUAAGUGCAGAACUCAACGUAAGCUACACUGAGACAACGUAGCUUACAUCGGCGAAGUUGCUACACCAUUAGUCUUUUGUGUUACUGCGCCACGUACACCACCUUAUAUGCCCGGUUCGGCGCCGAUUGCGUCUAUGAGUUUUUCCUCGUGAUCAUUUCACAUUUUUUUACUUAUUUUAAUCUUGUGUGUUUAUGUGAUUUAUACUAAUGCUUACUCAUAUGAUCACAUGUAGGUAAAGCUCCAAAAUAGUAAAGUUCGGGUUCAAAGUGGAGCCCCCAUUUAGUGAAGCAGGAGCUAAAUAUCCCGAGUUGAAAUUAAUGAAGCCUUCGUUUAAGGCCUGUGAAAUGCUCUCUACUUGGUUGACGAUUGGUGAUCGAGUCUCAAAGCGGUUCAAGAACACACAUCAUGAUGUUGGUCGACAUUUUGAAAAUGCGUCAACAAUUUGUUAAGUUGUUUCAUGCAACUUUUUCUUUGGUUUUAAAUAACUCGGUCAAACUUGACACACAGUCUACAUAUAAUGAUAGGUGUGUUUGACUCCAAACAAAUUAUAUAUAUAAACAAAAAAAUGGGACCUAUUUUCCGCA